GGGUGUGUGGCUCAGUUGGUUAGAGCAAUACGUUCACAUCGUAUGGGUCGGCGGUUCGAGUCCGUCCACACCCACCA
rnacentral:tRNA from 1 species